CAUGACUCGCAUUGAUAGGAACGUCACUCGCACGGAAAGAAACGUGCAAAGAUUGACUCAUGAGCUUCAUGGGUAUUUUGACUACGUCAACUACCCCUAUGCCCAAGUCGCCUUUCCGGGAGAGUCAAGUGAAGUACCGAACACCGAGCAAGAUGAUAAUGUCGAAGAUGACUACAGCUCCUCAUUUUGAUUAAUUUUUAGUCCAUAUUUUUGCUUCCAUUAUGUAUUUUAAUGUUUCUUUUCCCUUAAUCAAUAAGAUCUUCUUUUUGCUAAUGUCAAAAGGGGGAAGAAAGAGGGGCUAUGCACAUAAAACAUAUUUGGCAUAAAUU
rnacentral:lncRNA from 1 species